AUUGAACGCUGGCGGCAUGCUUUACACAUGCAGGUCGAACGGUAACAGGUUAAGCUGACGAGUGGCGAACGGGUGAGUAAUGCAUCGGAACGUGCCCAGUCGUGGGGGAUAACGCAGCGAAAGCUGUGCUAAUACCGCAUACGAUCUAUGGAUGAAAGCGGGGGACCGUAAGGCCUCGCGCGAUUGGAGCGGCCGAUGUCAGAUUAGCUAGUUGGUGGGGUAAAGGCCCACCAAGGCGACGAUCUGUAGCUGGUCUGAGAGGACGACCAGCCACACUGGAACUGAGACACGGUCCAGACUCCUACGGGAGGCAGCAGUGGGGAAUUUUGGACAAUGGGCGCAAGCCUGAUCCAGCAAUGCCGCGUGCAGGAAGAAGGCCUUCGGGUUGUAAACUGCUUUUGUACGGAACGAAACGGUCUGGGCUAAUACCCCGGGCUAAUGACGGUACCGUAAGAAUAAGCACCGGCUAACUACGUG
rnacentral:rRNA from 1 species